rnacentral:piRNA from 1 species
UAUGCAAAUUAUUAACCGAAA